rnacentral:rRNA from 1 species
UGGGGAAUAUUGCACAAUGGGCGCAAGCCUGAUGCAGCCAUGCCGCGUGUGUGAAGAAGGCCUUCGGGUUGUAAAGCACUUUCAUCGGGGAGGAAGGCGAUAAGGUUAAUAACCUUGUCUAUUGACGUUACCCGCAGAAGAAGCACCGGCUAACUCCGUGCCAGCAGCCGCGGUAAUACGGAGGGUGCAAGCGUUAAUCGGAAUUACUGGGCGUAAAGCGCACGCAGGCGGUCUGUCAAGUCGGAUGUGAAAUCCCCGGGCUCAACCUGGGAACUGCAUUCGAAACUGGCAGGCUAGAGUCUUGUAGAGGGGGGUAGAAUACCAGGUGUAGCGGUGAAAUGCGUAGAGAUCUGGAGGAAUACCGGUGGCGAAGGCGGCCCCCUGGACAAAGACUGACGGUCAGGUGCGAAAACGUGGGGAGCAAACAGGA